rnacentral:rRNA from 1 species
CCUACGGGAGGCAGCAGUAGGGAAUCUUCCACAAUGGACGAAAGUCUGAUGGAGCAACGCCGCGUGAGUGAAGAAGGGUUUCGGCUCGUAAAGCUCUGUUGGUAGUGAAGAAAGAUAGAGGUAGUAACUGGUCUUUAUUUGACGUUAAUUACUUAGGAAGUCACGGCUAACUACGUACCAGCAGCCGCGGUAAUCCGUAGGUGGCAAGCGUUGUCCGGAUUUAUUGGGGGUAAAGCGAGUGCAGGAGGUACAAUAAGUCUGAUGUGAACGCCUUCGGGUCAACCGGAGAAUUGCAUCAGAAACUGUUGAACUUGAGUGGAGAAGAGGAGAGUGGAACUCCAGGUGUAGCGGUGGAAGGCGUAGAUAGAUGGAAGAACACCAGUGGCGAAGGCGGCUCUCUGGUCUGCAACUGACGCUGAGGCACGAAAGCAUGGGUAGCGAACAGGAUUAGAUACCCGGGUAGUC